CUGGCUGAGGCGCUGGACGACAUCGAGUCGAAGACCCAGGGCGAUGGAGAUUUGCUCUUCUCCGAGCUCAGUGAGAAGAAAACAGCACUGGAGAAGUACCGUGCGCUGUGGAGCGAGGUGCAGUCGCUGGUCGGCCAGGUGUCUCAGCUGCGCGCGGCCUCGGACGCGACGGCGAGCAGACGCUGCCGGAGGUGGUGCAGACGCUGCACAGACACGGGGCGCUGGCGGCGCGCGUGGAGGAGGCGAUCCAGGUGCUGGAGCAGCG